rnacentral:rRNA from 1 species
AUGGAGAACCAGGCACACAUCGCCGGCGAGAAGAAGGGCAUCAUGGAGAAGAUCAAGGAGAAGCUCCCCGGCGGCCACGGCGACCACAAGGAGACCGCUGGUACCCACGGGCACGCCGGCACGGCGACGCAUGGUGCCCCGGCCACUGGUGGUGCCUACGGGCAGCAGGGUCACGCUGGAACCACCGGCACGGGGUUGCAUGGCGCCCACGCCGGCGAGAAGAAGGGCGUCAUGGAGAACAUCAAGGAAAAGCUCCCUGGUGGCCACAGUGACCACCAGCAGACCGGUGGAGCCUACGGGCAGCAGGGACACACCGGCACGGCGACACAUGGCACCCCUGCCGGCGGCGGCACCUACGGGCAGCAUGGACACGCUGGAGUGAUCGGCACGGAGACGCAUGGCACCACGGCCACCGGCGGCACCCAUGGGCAGCACGGACACACCGGAACGACUGGCACUGGGACACACGGCUCCGACGGGAUCGGCGAGAAGAAGAGCCUCAUGGACAAGAUCAAGGAUAAGCUGCCUGGACAGCACUGA